AUUGAACGCUGGCGGCAUGCCUUACACAUGCAAGUCGAACGGCAGCACGGGUGCUUGCACCUGGUGGCGAGUGGCGAACGGGUGAGUAAUGCAUCGGAGCGUGCCCAGUCGUGGGGGAUAACGCAGCGAAAGUUGUGCUAAUACCGCAUACGUCCUGAGGGAGAAAGCAGGGGAUCUUCGGACCUUGUGCGAUUGGAGCGGCCGAUGUCAGAUUAGCUAGUUGGUGAGGUAAAAGCUCACCAAGGCGACGAUCUGUAGCUGGUCUGAGAGGAUGAUCAGCCACACUGGAACCGAGAAACGGUCCAGACUCCUACGGGAGGCAGCAGUGGGGAAUUUUGGACAAUGGGGGCAACCCUGAUCCAGCCAUGCCGCGUGAGUGAAGAAGGCCUUCGGGCUGUAAAGCUCUUUCGGCCGGGAAGAAAUCGUGCAGGCUAAUACCCUGUAUGGAUGACGGUACCGGAAUAAGAAGCACCGGCUAACUACGUGCCAGCCGCCGCCGUAAGAC
rnacentral:rRNA from 1 species